AUUGAACGCUGGCGGCAGGCUUAACACAUGCAAGUCGAGCGGAGUGAUGGUGCUUGCACUAUCACUUAGCGGCGGACGGGUGAGUAAUGCUUAGGAAUCUGCCUAUUAGUGGGGGACAACAUCUCGAAAGGGAUGCUAAUACCGCAUACGUCCUACGGGAGAAAGCAGGGGAUCACUUGUGACCUUGCGCUAAUAGAUGAGCCUAAGUCGGAUUAGCUAGGUGGUGGGGUAAAGGCCUACCAAGGCGACGAUCUGUAGCGGGUCUGAGAGGAUGAGACGCCACACUGGGGCUGAGACACGGCCCAGACUCCUACGGGAGGCAGCAGUGGGGAAUAUUGGACAAUGGGGGGAACCCUGAUCCAGCCAUGCCGCGUGUGUGAAGAAGGCCUUAUGGUUGUAAAGCACUUUAAGCGAGGAGGAGGCUCUUUUGGUUAAUACCCAAGAUGAGUGGACGUUACUCGCAGAAUAAGCACCGGCUAACUCUGUGCCAGCAGCCGCCGUAA
rnacentral:rRNA from 1 species